rnacentral:lncRNA from 1 species
AGGAUGUUUAAGGCAGAGGAGCCACUUUCAGCUCAGACACAAGACAGGUGAAUGCCUUCAUCAUGACUGCCAGAGAGGGAGGAGGCCAACCUGGCACCACCAUGGAGGUCCUCAAAUCUACCACCCUGGCAGAGGCGAGCUGUGAGAUGGCCCUGGCUUUUGUGGGACCACCUUCUGAAGGUCAUCUGGAACUGGAUGAGAAGUGCUCAAGGAUAUAAGGUUAGGAGCAGUUUCUCCAAGAAACUCCCUCAUAAAACCACAGGAAGAUGGUGUUUGAGCUAGUUUUGAUGGAGACACUUAAGCUCUUGAGAAACUGGAUUAUUUCCUGGAAGGGGAAACAGGACCACUGCAGAGAGGCCUGAGUGAAUUUCACUCCCUGGCUCCAGCCUCAUCUGCUGCUGCAGGUUGACCUGGAGCCUGGAGUCCUUCUGUGGGGCUUACAGUGCAGCCAGCACUGCCCGAAGCUGUAGACACUUAGGGAAGGGGUGAGUACUACCAAGGUGAGGACUACUUAGGCAGCCUUGUGUUGUGAGUAGACUAAGCAGCAGAAAUGCUACAGAGUGGGCCAGGCCCAGGGGUGAAGAAGCAACAAAUCAGUGGAAUGUUUGCAAUGUUUUGGUCUUAGGAAUUAUACCAGGCCUCAAAGUCACAAAGCCUCUCUGUGGUCGAACGCCAGCCAGCCCUCACACAGGCAUAUGGUGGUGUGGGGAGAUGCUGGGAUCCAUGUGGCAAGCUCCUGACCACACAUCAACAGAGGGGUCAAAGACCCUCUGUGUCAGACUUGAGGAACUUGUAGAGAGUCAUAAGCUGGGUAAAUACAAUUUUGAAAAUCAGGCCUAGGGGAGUGUUUAUAGCAAAAUAGCAA